UACGUAGGGCGCAAGCGUUAUCCGGAAUUAUUGGGCGUAAAGGGCGCGUAGGCGGCGCAACAAGUCACUUGUGAAAUCUCCGGGCUUAACCCGGAGCGGCCAAGUGAUACUGUCGUGCUAGAGUGCGGAAGGGGCUACUGGAAUUCUCGGUGUAGCGGUGAAAUGCGUAGAUAUCGAGAGGAACACCUGCGGCGAAGGCGGGUAGCUGGGCCGACACUGACGCUGAGGCGCGAAAGCCAGGGGAGCGAACGGG
rnacentral:rRNA from 1 species